UACGUAGGGUCCGAGCGUUGUCCGGAAUUACUGGGCGUAAAGAGCUCGUAGGUGGUUUGUCGCGUUGUUCGUGAAAACUCACAGCUCAACUGUGGGCGUGCGGGCGAUACGGGCAGACUUGAGUACUGCAGGGGAGACUGGAAUUCCUGGUGUAGCGGUGGAAUGCGCAGAUAUCAGGAGGAACACCGGUGGCGAAGGCGGUUGCCUGGAGCUUUGCUGACGCUGAGGCGCGAAAGCGUGGGGAGCGAUCCGG
rnacentral:rRNA from 1 species